rnacentral:rRNA from 1 species
ACGGGCUUCGGUCUGGUGGCGAGUGGCGAACGGGUGAGUAAAGUAUCGGAACGUACCUUUCAGUGGGGGAUAACGUAGCGAAAGUUACGCUAAUACCGCAUAUUCUGUGAGCAGGAAAGCAGGGGAUCGCAAGACCUUGCGCUGAUUGAGCGGCCGAUAUCAGAUUAGCUAGUUGGUGGGGUAAAGGCCUACCAAGGCGACGAUCUGUAGCGGGUCUGAGAGGAUGAUCCGCCACACUGGAACUGAGACACGGUCCAGACUCCUACGGGAGGCAGCAGUGGGGAAUUUUGGACAAUGGGGGCAACCCUGAUCCAGCCAUGCCGCGUGAGUGAAGAAGGCCUUCGGGUUGUAAAGCUCUUUCGGCCGGGAAGAAAUCGCAUGGGCUAAUACCCUGUGUGGAUGACGGUACCGGAAUAAGAAGCACCGGCUAACUACGUGCCAGCAGCCGCGGUAAUACGUAGGGUGCGAGCGUUAAUCGGAAUUACUGGGGCGUAAAGCGUGCGCAGGCGGUUUAGUAAGACAGGCGUGAAAUCCCCGGGCUCAACCUGGGGAACUGCGCUUGUGACUGCUAAGCUAGAGUAC